rnacentral:lncRNA from 1 species
CUCGUCGAAUAUAAUGAAUAAAACCGGGAUGCGAAGGAAAACUGAAUGACAAUCCCAUAACAGCAACCAUUUUCGCUAGUUCUUCUCUAUCUACAUCUUCAUUAUAUGUCAAUGUAGAACUUGAGCUAGCUGGGUUAAACCUAUCUAAACGCGUUUGAACCAUAUUACCUCCCACAGAUUCUUUCGUCAAUGGUGUACCACCUUUUUUUGCCUUAGCCUCAUUUUCUAGACGAAUAAAUU